UACGUAGGGGGCAAGCGUUGUCCGGAUUUACUGGGCGUAAAGGGCGCGUAGGCGGCAUGACAAGUCACUUGUGAAAUCUCCGGGCUUAACUCGGAACGGUCAAGUGAUACUGUCGGGCUAGAGUGCGGAAGAGGCGAGUGGAAUUCCUGGUGUAGCGGUGAAAUGCGCAGAUAUCAGGAGGAACACCUAUUGCGAAGGCAGCUCGCUGGGACGUAACUGACGCUGAGACGCGAAAGCGUGGGGAGCAAACAGG
rnacentral:rRNA from 1 species